rnacentral:tRNA from 1 species
UAGCUCAGUUGGUAGAGCAUGGCACUUGCAGCACCACGGUUGUGGGUUCGAUUCCCAC